rnacentral:rRNA from 1 species
CCGUGGUAAUUCUAGAGCUAAUACAUGCUAAAAAUCCCGACUUCGGAAGGGAUGCAUUUAUUGGAUACAGAACCAACGCCCUUCGGGGCUUUCUGGUGAAUCACAAUAACUUCGCGGAUCGCACGGCCUUGUGCCGGCGAUGGUUCAUUCAAAUUUCUGCCCUAUCAACUUUCGACGGCUGGGUCUUGGCCAGCCGUGGUGACAACGGGUAACGGAGGGUUAGGGCUCGACCCCGGAGAAGGAGCCUGAGAGACGGCUACUACAUCCAAGGAAGGCAGCAGGCGCGCAAAUUACCCAAUCCCGACUCGGGGAGGUAGUGACAAUAAAUACUGAUCCAGGGCUCUUUUGGGUCUUGGAAUUGGAAUGAGUACAAUUUAAAUCCCUUAACGAGGAACAAUUGGAGGGCAAGUCUGGUGCCAGCAGCCGCGGUAAUUCCAGCUCCAAUAGCGUAUAUUAAAGUUGUUGAGGUUAAAAAGCUCGUAGUUGAACCUUGGCCCCGGCUAGCUGGUCCGCCUCACCGCGAGUACUGGUUCGGCCGGGGCUUUCCCUCUGGGGAACCUCAUGCCCUUCACUGGGUGUGCUGGGGAACCAGGACUUUUACUGUGAACAAAUCAGAUCGCUCAAAGAAGGCCUUCGCUCGAAUGCAUUAGCAUGGAAUAAUAGAAUAGGACGUGCGGUUCUAUUUUGUUGGUUUCUAGGACCGCCGUAAUGAUUAAUAGGGACAGUCGGGGGCGUCCGUAUUCAAUUGUCAGAGGUGAAAUUCUUGGAUCUAUUGAAGACGAACUACUGCGAAAGCAUUCGCCAAGGAUGUUUUCAUUAAUCAGGAACGAAAGUUAGGGGAUCGAAGACGAUCAGAUACCGUCGUAGUCUUAACCAUAAACUAUGCCGAUUAGGGAUCGGACGAUGU